rnacentral:rRNA from 1 species
AUUGAACGCUGGCGGCAUGCCUAACACAUGCAAGUCGAACGGCAGCACGGCAGUAGCAAUACUGUGGGUGGCGAGUGGCGGACGGGUGAGGAAUACGUCGGAAUCUGCCCCAGUCGUGGGGGAUAACUAGCCGAAAGGUUAGCUAAUACCGCAUACGACCGAGAGGUGAAAGCGGGGGACCGCAAGGCCUCGCGCGAUUGGAUGAGCCGACGUCGGAUUAGCUAGUUGGUGGGGUAAAGGCCCACCAAGGCGACGAUCCGUAGCUGGUCUGAGAGGAUGAUCAGCCACACUGGAACUGAGACACGGUCCAGACUCCUACGGGAGGCAGCAGUGGGGAAUAUUGGACAAUGGGCGCAAGCCUGAUCCAGCAAUGCCGCGUGUGUGAAGAAGGCCUCGGUUGUAA